UCGGGUCUCCACACCUGCGGGAGGCCAAGGUACUGCCGCGGGUGGCAGGGAGUGGAGACGCGUCACCUCCAGCUCGCGCUCGGCACUUGUCCCUAGUUGCUAUUAACUGGCUGGGCUUUAACAUAGCUCCCUGUAUUCUGUGUGCCCGACCCUCUGCUACGCGCUGGGGAUACUUUAGUAAUGAGGGAGGUCGACAAUCUGUAAUAAAAGCUACGGGAACGUUUAACAGGGAGGCCUGAUGUACUCUGGGUGGUGGAGAGUCAGAGAAAGGGAAACGUGUACUCAAGAAAAACAAAAUGGUGUGUGGGAGUAAGAUUUAUUUUAGGAAUGAGCCAGGAAGAUCCCAGCUGGCGACUGCUCUGAGUGGAUUCCUGUCCCUGCCCACGCGAAGUCCACAGAGGCCAGUCAACUUGGAAAUAAAUUAUAAGCGACAGAAAAAUUGACCCCCAGGGAACCGAAACACGGCUGACCUCAGUGCACACUGGCUCGGAAGACUAAGGAAGCUCUGCUACAUCCAAAUACUUAUUCUACCAAGAAACCCUAUCACAAGCCUGUUUCCACUGUCUUGAUGGUACAAGAGAAUCCAGAUCUUCUCUGGUUUCUUAUAGUUCCUCAUAGAGUCCUGCACACGGCUGAGAGAAAGUUGGAGGGUCUUCAAACCAGACAAUGCUGAAGUUCUGAAGCCAUUGGAAAGAGUUCAGGAUGAGUUAGAAAGGAGCAUUCCAAACAGGUCUGAGUAGGUAGGAGUUUAAUUAAUCCAUUAUUGGUAACAAUUAGGAAUUAAAACAAUAUCAAAUUGUAAAAAGUUAGUUUCUUCAAACUUGCUCUUUAUAUGUUGACAUUAAAUACAACAUCUUAUAAUAUUGUGUAUUCAGUUGCCUUAAUAGAAAUCUGCAGCACAAACAAAA